GCAGUGACUGUACGUGUAAGGAGAAGGAGUAUCUUCAAAGCUGCUUUCCCCCAGGAGAAAGAAGGAAAUGGACUCAGCAACGGGCAGGAGUAUCCAACCCAUCUGGCACGUUUAUAAAGCUUGGAAGGACAGCCACAGCUCUCAAGUUGCCUGUUGAGACAUGGCAUGUUGAAAACAGGUCGUUGUACAGUGACACGUGAUGGACAGUAGGAGAGAUGGCCCCAUUCAUCUAUUACCUCUAUUUCCUGCAGCUCUAAAUAAGACUUUUCAGCACGAGGAGUUCUGGCACCACCAGGAGGGGCUCAGCAGGGCAUUUUACCCGUGGAGGCCGAAACCGCACAGCAAGAGGAGCGUGGUCCUUCCCAUCGUUCAGCUUUCAGAAAG